rnacentral:tRNA from 1 species
GGUGGGAUUCCUGAGUGGCUUAAAGGGACUGUCUUGAAAACAGUUGUAGCGUAAGCUACCGGAGGUUCGAAUCCUCCUCCCACCG